rnacentral:rRNA from 1 species
CAGUCGCCACGGUAAUACGUAGGUGGCAAGCGUUGUCCGGAAUUAUUGGGCGUAAAGGGCUCGCAGGCGGUUUCUUAAGUCUGAUGUGAAAGCCCCCGGCUCAACCGGGGAGGGUCAUUGGAAACUGGGAAACUUGAGUGCAGGAGAGGAGAGUGGAAUUCCACGUGUAGCGGUGAAAUGCGUAGAGAUGUGGAGGAACACCAGUGGCGAAGGCGACUCUCUGGUCUGUAACUGACGCUGAGGAGCGAAAGCGUGGGGAGCGAACAGGAUUAGAGACCCCUGUAGUCCCUGUCUCUUAUAA